GCUACCAUGCAAGUCGAACGGAGUAUUUAGCAAUAAAUACUUAGUGGCGAACGGGUGAGUAACGCGUAGACAACCUGCCUCUAAACUGGGGACAACACCGCGAAAGUGGUGCUAAUACCGAAUGUGGUAACUUGGCUGCAUGGCUGAGUUAAGAAAGAUGGCCUCUUAGCAAUGCUAUCGUUUAGAGAUGGGUCUGCGUCUGAUUAGCUAGUUGGUGAGGUAAAGGCUCACCAAGGCGACGAUCAGUAGCCGGUCUGAGAGGAUGAACGGCCACACUGGGACUGAGACACGGCCCAGACUCCUACGGGAGGCAGCAGUGGGGAAUCUUCCGCAAUGGACGAAAGUCUGACGGAGCAACGCCGCGUGAGUGAAGAAGGUCUUCGGAUUGUAAAGCUCUGUCGUUUGGGACGAACGUGGGUUGAGUGAAUAAUUCAGCCUAAUGACGGUACCAAAGGAGGAAGCCACGGCUAACUACGUGCCAGCAGCCGCGGUAAUACGUAGGUGGCAAGCGUUGUCCGGAAUUAUUGGGCGUAAAGGGCGUGUAGGUGGAUUCUUAAGUCGUGUGUCUAAGUGCGGUGCUCAACACCGUAUG
rnacentral:rRNA from 1 species